rnacentral:lncRNA from 1 species
GGCCAUGUAUGGCAUCUGCAAAACAACAAAGGGAGAGUCAUGGAUGGUUUUGAAAAAUGCCUCUUUAAUUUACUCAUCACAAUGGCUUUUGCAUUGCUUCAAUUUUUGAAAAACAAGUACAAUUUUUUCUUAAAAAUCCUUGUAGAUCUUUAAUGCAAAUAGUUAAAGGCUCACUGCCCUGGCAUGCUAAGAUUUAUCCUUAUUACUGUUAAUUGAUUAAUUGAGAGGAAAUUUUGCUUAAUAGCGAAAGAGAAAGUUUAGGCUUUGGGUGACCCAAAUUUAGUUUCUUAUCCUGCCACAGGCUUCCUGUAUAACCUUUAACCCUGCUGUAUUUUACUCUGUCACAUGCAGAAUUAGGAUAAUAGUACUUCCUUAUUUGAGAGGGAUGUAGGAAGUUAAGUGCAUUAGAAUAUGAAGUGUUCAGAUACUACAAAAGUGGGGAGGAGGCAUAUAAAUACCUACGCAUAUUCCAACAAUACUCCUCAGAGGCACAAGUGUGCUGAAUACUACACAAAACCUGGGUAAGUGCAUUUCCUAAGUACACCAGAUAAGUCAGUGAUGGAAAGAUUAGGUGACUUGUUAAUCAGCUGCAGCAAAAGCAUAGCUUUGUUAUUCGAAUGCAGUAGGAUAUUCAUUGACCCAUUCAGCUUUCAGGUCUCUGCUCCAGCAGUAUUUUGCUCAUAGCUUAGUGGGACAAGUCACGUAAAGAAAUUUUAGCAUAAGAACUCAGAUGCUGUGCUGACCUACAGACUACCAGCACAUGCUCAAAACUAUACUAAGCAACAUCCAUUGUGCUACAACAUAAGAUCUUAUGAUAAAGACAGUAUUGGUUAAAUGCUGCAUUUGCUUUCAAUGACAUUCGCUUUCUAGGUGACAGGAAGGAGAAGAGAAACACUGGGAAGAUUAUCAUCAAGAAAGUGGAAUUUCCGAUAUUCAAUCGUAAACAGUGUGGCAGACUCAACAUUUUUGUUAUUUUUGCUACAGUCUUAAGGUCUUGGAAGCAAAUUCAAGAUUAUGGCUUUCAGUCUCGGGGAGUUCGGAGGGCAGCAGCGGCGUGUUCCUUCCUCUACGCCACGGCUUGCGUCAUGCGCAGGGCCUCUGUUGAGAUCAAAGACAUUUGCUUUCUAUUAUCCUAUCUGGAAGAGAAGUUGACUGAUAAAGAAGUCUCCACCCUAAUGAUUAAACCCUAUUUGGAUUUAAAUACCUGGAUGAGACCCCUUCAGCCUGCAGGCAGGAUUAGGAGGCCCAUGACUCCAGUGCCCAUUUGCUAAUCUGGAUGCAGAACACACUCUGCCUGUCUGCAAAAUGUUGUGUCAUUUGGCUUUCAUAGUCGGUUACUGUCAUCCCAGGGCAUUUUUUUCUUCCAGUGGUGCCACUGGGAAAUGAAAUUGAGAUGAAUCCAUACUAAAUAGCUACAUGACAGCAAGAGCUGAGCAAAUAAAUAAGGGAAGAUUAUGGAGCA